rnacentral:rRNA from 1 species
GAGCGGCGAACGGGUGAGUAACACGUGAGUAACCUGCCCCUGACUCUGGGAUAAGCCCGGGAAACUGGGUCUAAUACCGGAUAUGACACCUCCUGGCAUCGGGUGGGUGUGGAAAGUUUUUUCGGUUGGGGAUGGACUCGCGGCCUAUCAGCUUGUUGGUGGGGUAAUGGCCUACCAAGGCGACGACGGGUAGCCGGCCUGAGAGGGCGACCGGCCACACUGGGACUGAGACACGGCCCAGACUCCUACGGGAGGCAGCAGUGGGGAAUAUUGCGCAAUGGGCGAAAGCCUGACGCAGCGACGCCGCGUGGGGGAUGACGGCCUUCGGGUUGUAAACCUCUUUCAGCAGGGACGAAGUUGACGUGUACCUGCAGAAGAAGCGCCGGCUAACUACGUGCCAGCAGCCGCGGUAAUACGUAGGGCGCAAGCGUUGUCCGGAAUUAUUGGGCGUAAAGAGCUCGUAGGUGGCUUGUCACGUCGGGUGUGAAAGCUUGGGGCUUAACUCCAGGUCUGCAUUC